rnacentral:lncRNA from 1 species
UGUGGAAGGGGAGGAAAUAUGCUUCCCCACAGCCCCUCACCAGGCUGAAUCUGGUAGAAGAUGGGGAGAUUUGGAGUCUGAUGAGUCCCGCAUCCAUUCUGAAUUGGCUGGUGGUUGAAGGGAAGAGGGAUGGGGUAGAUAAGAACUGGGAUUGAGUUCUGUAUAAAAAGUGGGUUUCAGGGAAUGUGGUUUGAUGGUCUUG